rnacentral:misc_RNA from 1 species
GUGCCCUAUCUGUUUGGAAGAAUUUGACGUCGGAAAUGAGGUCCGUGGUCUCCCUUGUGCUCACAACUUUCAUGUUGCGUGCAUUGAUGAAUGGCUUCGCCUAAACGUGAAAUGCCCUAGAUGCCGCUCUUCUGUCUUUCCAAAUCUUGAUCUCAGUGCUUUAUCCAAUAUCCGAACCGAUUCAGAGGGGUCAACAGCCAAUGUUGUGACAGCAGCACAGUAUGUGAGAUCCCAACCCUCCAGCCAGAGCUAUCUGCUAAGAAUGCAAGGUUUGCUCCGCCCUGUACGCACACAAGAUGCUGGCCUGGGCAGUGAGGUAGAUCCAGCUGAUAGCAGCAACCAAGCAUCCACACCUCAUAGUCACGGAUUCGUGGAACCAGUACAAGUUAUAGUGGAACAGUCCCCAAGGGAGCUAUAACCAUACUUCCUGAGGAGGUUCU